GUAAGCACCUUCCAAAUGGCUAACCAUGGGAGAUGCUCUUGCACCUUGGUGGCAAGCUGUACGAACUGGAAAAUUCACUUUGGUUAGCCUAAACCGGAAAUCCUGAGGAAUAGUUUACGAAUAAGUACGAGAAAUUUUCGUUUUCUCCUCCAAAAUUCCUCCUUUAUCGGUUUUGGCACUAACCGGGGGACACAAAUGCGGCAAUUUCCGAUGGGCUUAGACCGUCGCAACUCCUCCGCUGGUGAUAAAAAGAGGGGACUUCUUUAGAGAUCUUUAACAACUGGCCUCUAACUAACACUAGUGAAUAAUUAUCUGAAGAAUAUGGAAUCAUGGACUUGAUAUAUGAAAAUCAACGAGUUUAUCUCUUGGAGAUAUCGGCUUCUUUUCGCUGGUAAUCAUUACUUGUUGCUCUACAUGUUCCUGUUGUUUACUUUUGUGCACAACAAUGAUCUGUUGACUCAGCUAAGGAUGAAUUGCCAAAGAGUGGAUAGCUUGGAAGCAGGAUGAGAAGCUUACGGUAGGAUUGCGAUAUGAGCCAAUAUAUGAAAUCAAAGACACCAAAAUGAUCUUUUUAAUUCACGCCCAAUGCGGAGGAGGAGAUUUUUCAGGCUUCUGAAAUGUCGUAGCAGACAGUGUCCUGGCAAGCAGACAGGUUUGACAACAGACUGCGACGCGUAUUAAAAAAGUACUACAAUCACUGCACCCGUUGGGAGAGAGUGUGCAUAUCUUUGGCUAAAGAGAAACAAAAUAUGGAAUAGUUUAAAAAGGAAUUUUGAUGUUUUGGGUUUUCAAGUUGAGUCAAUAGCCUUCACAGACUUGUAAGAACCUCCACUUGUAAUGGAGGCUCGUAGCAGACUUGUAGGAGCCUAUAGGAUACAGAAAAGACAGAGAUGAGCUCUCUAGACAGCUUUCUGUGCUGAUUAUCACAGAGGAACGUUUGUCAACUGUAUUCUUAUACA